rnacentral:rRNA from 1 species
UACGGGGGGGAGCAAGCGUUGUUCGGAUUUACUGGGCGUAAAGGGCGCGUAGGCGGCGUGACAAGUCACUUGUGAAAUCUCCGGGCUUAACUCGGAACGGUCAAGUGAUACUGUCGUGCUAGAGUACAGAAGGGGGCAACUGGAAUUCUCGGUGUAGCGGUGAAAAUGCGUAGAUAUCGAGAGGAACACCUGCGGCGAAGGCGGGUUGCUGGGCUGAUACUGACGCUGAGGAGCGAAAAGCGUGGGGGAGCGAACAGG